rnacentral:lncRNA from 1 species
GUAAUAUUUAAAUGAUACAAUAUUAACAUAUAAAUGAAUAAAGAGAUUUUGUACAAAGAGUUCUAUUUAGCCUUUGGGAACUCUGCACAUUGACUCCCGGCUCCUAUGUUCCCUUUUGAACACCUCCUUAUUCUCUGGCAGUACAAGAUGCUCCAGGCUCAUCAAGCGUUUUCCCUGUCUCAGCCCUCUAAUUGGCUGUUUUUCUAACUAGCUCUACUCCUUGUCCUGGAUAAUGAUAUUGGAAAGCAAGAUCUGAGUCCCGGCAGCCAUGCCGUUUUAGAAAUCAUAUGUCUAAAGCUCAGAGAAGUUAAGGGAUUUGCUCAAGGUUCAAAGAUGAUUAGUAGCAAAGCUAACACUGGAAUACAAGUAUAUUGAGGCCUGGGUCCUAACCCUGCCAUUAUCCCACUCUGCCUCUCCUCUUACAUUCCAGGGCAUGCAACCCUCACAGGCAUGUAGGUGAGAAAACGUGUCCCUACUUCCUAUGGUCUAGACAUCCUGCGGGUCCUGCAAUGCUAAAUAUUUGUGUUUCUGCAGGACUUGGAAACCUUUCUAUGAAAGAAAACAUGAAAGCAAGAGAGAUACAGUGGUCUUCAGAACGGCAAAGGAAAUAGGGAAGGGCCCAUUCUUUAAGUGGGCUAAGGUGUAGGUUAUACACAGAGUAUCAGUUACGUCACUUAAUGUUCAGGGUAGUCUGCUGUGUAAUUUAUUUGUUCAUAUGGCUUGUCACUUCCAUGAACUCUAUGAGUCUUUCGGAUUUCUUUUAGAUAUGCACCUUCAAAGCCGUAGAGACCCAAAACAUGGAUAUCUGCAUGGACAUCUAUGAAGGUGAAAAGGCUGAGAUGGAUGAAGGCAACCUGCAAAUGGGGGGAGAGACCCUUCUCAUCACAGAGCUCUACCACGUGGGGUUUCCCUCUUGCACCCUGCCCUCACGGAGGCCUUUGAAUUGCAUAUGGCAAGACUUAACGGAUGCAGGCUGGGGAACUUCCAGACAAAUGCGCCUACACUUCUUGCCAACACAGCAGGAAUAGAACCCAGGAGAGAAACUGAUUUAGAGAGCAUUUUAAAACACUCUAUUUGUUAUCCACCUGGAUUUGUGCUCUGAAGUUCAUGCACUCUAAGCAUCUCACAUAUUUCUGUAUCCUGGGCAUACAGCACAGCAUGUGCUAAGCAGUCUGUACUCAAUAAAAGGAGCUACCUAAAUGUCA